CCCGGGUGGCUCGGCGUCACUUGUUACCCGAAACCGUCGGUACGCGGGGGGCGAAGUCUGAAGAAGGCUGCAACGAUCUCCCGGAUCCUGUGUGUCCUGACGUUGAAACCUCGUCCCAUGAGGUCGAUGGCCAGGGAUCAAAAUUCCGGAGGGAGUGGCGACCUGUCGCUGCGGGAACCGGUUCAGGCCCGGAAGGGAGCAGACUUACCGCAGACAUCCGGCGCCCAUGGGGUAACGGGGCGGAGGAUGGGUGCUUUGGUGAAAGGAGCAACGUACAGUCGACCGAUGAC
rnacentral:SRP_RNA from 1 species